rnacentral:rRNA from 1 species
AUGCAAGUCGAGCCGGAAACGAAAGAUAGCUUUGCUAUCAGGCGUCGAGCGGCGGACGGGUGAGUAAUGCUUAGGAAUCUGCCCAGUAGUGGGGGAUAGCCCGGGGAAACUCGGAUUAAUACCGCAUACGCCCUUUUGGGGAAAGCAGGGGAUCUUCGGACCUUGCGCUAUUGGAUGAGCCUAAGUCGGAUUAGCUAGUUGGUGGGGUAAAGGCUCACCAAGGCGACGAUCCGUAGCUGGUCUGAGAGGAUGAUCAGCCACAUCGGGACUGAGACACGGCCCGAACUCCUACGGGAGGCAGCAGUGGGGAAUAUUGGACAAUGGGCGCAAGCCUGAUCCAGCCAUGCCGCGUGUGUGAAGAAGGCUUUCGGGUUGUAAAGCACUUUCAGUGAGGAGGAAGGCCUCAAAGUUAAUACCUUUGAGGAUUGACGUCACUCACAGAAGAAGCACCGGCUAACUCCGUGCCAGCAGCCGCGGUAAUACGGAGGGUGCAAGCGUUAAUCGGAAUUACUGGGCGUAAAGCGCGCGUAGGUGGUUGAGUAAGCGAGAUGUGAAAGCCCCGGGCUUAACCUGGGAACGGCAUUUCGAACUGCUUGGCUAGAGUGUGGUAGAGGGUAGUGGAAUUUCCUGUGUAGCGGUGAAAUGCGUAGAUAUAGGAAGGAACACCAGUGGCGAAGGCGGCUACCUGGACCAACACUGACACUGAGGUGCGAAAGCGU